rnacentral:tRNA from 1 species
GGGGUUGUGGCUCAAUGGUAGAGCACUUGCCUUGCAUGUAUAAGGCACUGGAUUUGAUCCUCAGCACCUCA